AGAGUUUGAUCCUGGCUCAGGACGAACGCUGGCGGCGUGCUUAACACAUGCAAGUCGAGCGGGGUUGCUUGAUGGAUAACUUCGGUUUGAAGUCGAGUCAACCUAGCGGCGGACGGGUGAGUAACACGUGGGCGACCUGCCCUGAAGACUGGGAUAACAACCCGAAAGGGUUGCUAAUACCGAAUACCUUUUAUCUACCGCAUGGUAGAUAAAAGAAAGAUUUAUCGCUUCAGGAUGGGCCCGCGUCCCAUUAGCUAGUUGGUGAGGUAACGGCUCACCAAGGCAAUGAUGGGUAGCUGGUCUGAGAGGACGAUCAGCCACACUGGAACUGAGACACGGUCCAGACUCCUACGGGAGGCAGCAGUGGGGAAUAUUGCACAAUGGGGGAAACCCUGAUGCAGCAACGCCGCGUGAGUGAUGACAGCCUUCGGGUUGUAAAACUCUGUCAGGAGGGACGAAUAAUGACGGUACCUCCAGAGGAAGCCCCGGCUAACUACGUGCCAGCCGCCGCGGUAAUUC
rnacentral:rRNA from 1 species